CCGUGUCUUUCUUCUUUGCUUCACAGUUGCUUCACAGAGAGGUAGAGAGAGUGAAGGGAAUUCAAUUUCUUGGACAGUUGGGUUGUUGCUCAGCAGUGUGUGUAUUUCUUGCUUCGACACCUGGGGUGGUUGUCAGUGCUAUCGUGUCUAUGAUACCUCGCUCCACCCAGAGGGGUUUCUGGGUUAUUGGCUUAACCUUGAGGUGGAGGUGUGUUGAGAAAGGCAGCAGAGCUGCUGAGGUGUGGCUUCAAACAUCCAAUUCCAGAGUUAUUGUUCAUGCUUGGAGACAUAGAUUGCUUCUACAUUCAAGGUUUCAUAUGCUACUGUUGUAAGAAAUUGGUCUGCAAGGUCUGAAGAGAAGGAGAAGGUUGAAUCUGUAAAUCAAGGUGAAGCUGUAAAAAAUACAAGUGGAUAAUGUGAGAGUAGAAACUAGGUAUAAAACCUGCGCGACAACAGUAGUUCUUGGUCUUUUCGAUUCUUCUCUUGCACCGAUCAGCACCGCCUCAGUUUGCCCUAUAUGCAGAGAAAGAAAAAGGUGGGGAAUUCACUUUGAGAGAGAGAGAGAUCAAAUUUCCCGAAGAAUAUAUCUGAUCCCGUCAGAGAAAGAGAGAGAUAGAGCGCUCGCAAAAGGAAGAUAUAUCGGCCUUAACCAAAGAAAUGGGAAAUUGGAGAGGAGGAAGGGAGAAUUUUAUCAAGGCGGUAUUGCUUCUUCUUGCUCUGGUCAUUGGUUUUCAAUUCGUUUUUUUUUUCUAUUUUUUUAUUAUUAAUUUUUUUUUGGGUUUCUUGCUUGCAUGCCUACAUUCCGGUUGGUCUUGCCUGAAUCCUUUGGUUGGAGGUGUAGAUAGUGGUUGUUUGUGAAUUUUGCAAAAUGGAAUAGCAGAGAAGAAUUGGUGGGGAGAGUUUGGGUUGGCUGAGCUCCCAAGGGUUUGUUUGUAUUUAGUUGUAAUUGAUUUUAAAUAUUUUUUUCGAAUUUUCAUUUUUUGUUAGUUGAUUUCGUUAUUUGAGAAUUGAGUUGUGAUUUUUCUAUAUUUGGUUCUUCUGCAUGUGAUGAUUUGUAUUUGGAGAGUUGAGAAAAUGAAGAAUUCGUGAUUUCUGUUUGAUGAAUUGAUCUAUCUUUCAUCAUCUUUUCGUUCCCCCAAUCUUUUUUAAAAUUCUGUUCUUACUUAAGUUUAAGUACACCUAUCUCCCUUUGUUUUUAUACUUUAUAGCUUCCAGAGUUCAAAGACACAGAAAUUGCACCAAAGUGAUUAGGCUUAGUCUAGAUGACUUAGAAUUAAAGGAUGGUUUUGUUUCUCAGUUGAAUUGCAGUAAGUUGUUUUUCCAUUUGUCUAUGCAGGUUUCCAAGUAGGGAUUUGGGUGUAUGGGACUAUAAUGUGCCGGUGCCUGAAAAUUUUGGCAUAUCAAUGAUCAAGUGUGCAUAUGAUAGAGGAAUAACAUUCUUCGAUACAUCUGAUGUUUAUGGACCACUUGCUAAUGAAGUUUUUAUCGGAAAGGUGAAAUAUAAGCAAGGUAUUCUUCACCAUCAACCAAAGAAAGUGAAGGAGGACUUGGUCAUGAAAAACAUAGAUUUGGCUGGUGUUUAGAGCAAUGUGAUCAAUAACCAUGACAUAGAACUCAAAGAAGAAGAAAGUGCCUUGCUGAAGGCUUGAAGAUUCCAGUUUAGCCGCUUAGGCAUGUGAGAGUAAAGCAGCUCCAGUUUUGUCAUAUCAAUUUUUCUGCUUGGUGUUGUAAAUAUAUCAUUAUUAUUAGGUUUUCCAUAAGCAAGGUUCUGAUUUUUUUAUACUGAACCCUGCAAGUUUGGUUAAUCUAUUAUUGGAUUUGAGAUUGUAGUAGAUUUGAUUGAGAGCUUAAUACAAAUCUCAAUUCUUAAGUGUGUCAA